CCGACGGUGAGGGGCGAAAGCUGGGGGAGCAAACCGGAUUAGAUACCCGGGUAGUCCCAGCUGUAAACGAUGCGCGUUAGGUGUGUCAGUGACCACGUGUCACUGAUGUGCCGAAGGGAAACCGUGAAACGCGCCGCCUGGGGAGUACGGUCGCAAGGCUGAAACUUAAAGGAAUUGGCGGGGAGCACCACAACGGGUGGAGCCUGCGGUUUAAUCGGACUCAACGCCGGAAAUCUCACCGGAUAAGACAGCUGAAUGAUAGUCGGGAUGAAGACUCUACUUGACUAGCUGAGAGGAGGUGCAUGGCCGUCGUCAGUUCGUACUGUGAAGCAUCCUGUUUAGUCAGGCAACGAGCGAGACCCAGCCAACAAUUGCCAG
rnacentral:rRNA from 1 species